GACGAACGCUGGCGGCGUGCCUAACACAUGCAAGUCGAACGAGAUCCAUGGGAGCUUGCUCCCGGAAGAUCUAGUGGCGAACGGGUGAGUAACACGUGAGAAACCUGCCCUGGAGUGGGGAAUAACUCGGGGAAACUCGAGCUAAUACCGCAUACCCUCGGAUGGUCGCAUGGCCGACCGAGGAAAGAUUUAUCGCUCUAGGAGGGUCUCGCGGCCUAUCAGCUAGUUGGUGGGGUAACGGCCUACCAAGGCAACGACGGGUAGCUGGUUUGAGAGAACGAUCAGCCACACUGGGACUGAGACACGGCCCAGACUCCUACGGGAGGCAGCAGUGGGGAAUCUUGCGCAAUGGGCGAAAGCCUGACGCAGCAACGCCGCGUGCGGGAUGACGGCCUUCGUGGUUGUAAACCGCUUUCAGCAGGGACGAAAAUGACGGUACCUGCAGAAGAAGCCCCGGCUAACUACGUGCCAGCAGCCGCGGU
rnacentral:rRNA from 1 species